UUCACCAUCCUUCUCCGCGAGCCGCAAGCGCUGUCCUUGGACCUCACCGCCGUCGAAGACCCCCUCGGUCGCCGCCGUGUUCCUCUGCGGGCUUCCGCCCACAGGACCUAUAUCUCCCGUAUCGUCUUCUGUUGCGACGCCAACCCUCACAUCUCUGAUGUCCUCCCGCCUUCCACUCCUCUCCGCAGCCGCCACCUGCAUCAGCAGUUGAUCUUCUUGGAAAUAGGAACUUUCCGUCUUCCCUUCUCGUUCACAUGCAACUUUAAUCGCGGCCGAUCUACCGAGAAACUCUGACCUUGAGCUUUUUAGGCUGAGACAGCUAUCAACGGGAGGAAAUCCUUGCGCGGAAAAUGAGUGCAGAUACUGUUCCAAGGAUUCUAAGGAAUUCGAACCACAUUCUAAGGAAACUGAACAUAGUAGAACAAAUCAGUGCAACACUGCAGGAUAUGGCGAGGGUGGAGCAUUUGGUGGAAAUAGAGGAGCAAGACCUGUACCUCCUGAAAAAGGUGUAUUUCCCUUAGAUCACUUGCAUGAAUGUGAUUUGGCAAAGAAAGAAUAUAUUGCUUGCCUCAAAUCAUCAGGCUACCAAUCAGAAAAAUGUAGGCACUUAUCAAAGAAGUACUUAGAAUGUCGAAUGGAAAGAAACUUGAUGGCUAAACAAGAUCUAUCUGAGCUUGGCUUCCUCAAAGACCGCGGAACAGCUACAUCUGAAGAGAGCACCAGUGGCGGUCAGCCCAAUCCCUCACCUGCAAAAAAGACCAUAACUUACUUGAAGGUGUGAUCUGGUCACAAAUGGAUUUUUCUGAUUCUAGAUUUGCAGCAAGAAUACAUGUUUAGAAAUGAUAAAGAUGGCUAAUAAUUUGGUUCAAUUGUGUAUUAACUAUUUUUACUGGAUCACUGAUAUCUCCUUGAUCUUUAA